rnacentral:rRNA from 1 species
GACGAACGCUGGCGGCGUGCUUAACACAUGCAAGUCGAACGAAGUGGCGAACGGGUGAGUAACGCGUAAUCAACCUGCACUGAAGAGGGGGACAACAGUUAGAAACGACUGAUAAUACAGCAUGCUGUAGGAGGGGAUUGCGUUUGAGUAGCUAGUUGGCGGGGUAACGGCCCACGAAGGCGAUGAUCAGUAGGCGGUCUGCGAUGAUGAACGGCCAAAUCGGGACUGGGACAAGGCCCAGACCCCCACGGGAGGCAGCAGUGGGGAAGCUUCCGCAAUGGACGAAAGUCUGACGGAGCAACGCCGCGUGAGUUAUGACGGCCUUCGGGUUGUAAAGCCCUGUUAAGCGGGACGCGGUACCGGAAUAGAAAGCCACGGCUAACUACGUGCCAGCAGCCGCGGUAAUAC